AUUAAACGCUGGCGGCAUGCCUUACACAUGCAAGUCGAACGGCAGCACGGGGGCAACCCUGGUGGCGAGUGGCGGACGGGUGAGUAAAGCAUCGGAACGUAUCCUGGAGUGGGGGAUAACGUAGCGAAAGUUACGCUAAUACCGCAUAUUCUGUGAGCAGGAAAGCAGGGGAUCGCAAGACCUUGCGCUCUGGGAGCGGCCGAUGUCGGAUUAGCUAGUUGGUGGGGUAAAGGCCUACCAAGGCGACGAUCCGUAGCGGGUCUGAGAGGAUGAUCCGCCACACUGGGACUGAGACACGGCCCAGACUCCUACGGGAGGCAGCAGUGGGGAAUUUUGGACAAUGGGCGGAAGCCUGAUCCAGCCAUGCCGCGUGAGUGAAGAAGGCCUUCGGGUUGUAAA
rnacentral:rRNA from 1 species